rnacentral:rRNA from 1 species
UAAGAAUUUAAAAGUCGAACAGACUUAUUCCUAAGAAGGCUGCUUCUUAAAAUUUUCUUAAUUCAACAUCGAGGUCGCAAAAUACAAUAUAGAUAUGAACUCCCCAUUAAAAUUACGCUGUUAUCCCUAAGGUAACUUAGUCUUAUUUCCCAUAACUAAGGAUCUAAAAUAACAUACAUAAAUGAAUUCUUAAACUAAAGUUAAUUUAUUUAGCCACCACCCCAGCAAAAUAUAAAAUUAAACAUUAAAAAAUAAUAAAAUAAAACUCAAUAAUAUAAACUUAUAUAAAGUUCUAUAGGGUCUUAUCGUCCCAAUAAAUCAAUAAAGCAUUUUAACUUUAAAUUUAAAUUUUAACAUUUAAAAAAAUAAAAUAUAUAUCUCAUACAUCCAUUCAUACAAGCUUUCAAUUAAAAAACUAAUUACUAUGCUACCUUUGCACAGUCAAAAUACUGCAGCCAUUUAGAAAUUUUAAACCAUAGGGCAGAAGAUACUUUUUAUAUAAACA